AUGCUGGGAAGCGGAUGGCAAGACAAGAUGGAUUUUUUGCUCGUGCGAUUGCAAGGAGGGAUAAACUUGGGCGACAGAGACACCGCCGAAUCGGUGGAUUUCUAUAUCUAUAUCUAUAUCUAUACCUUAUAUAGUGUGAAUAACUUUGAAAGAUGGUCGUUGGAUGAAAUCAAUCCGACGGUGCAAAGAUGGCAAAUCCGAGCACUACUGGCCGUUGGAUAUCAUCUACAUUCCAUCAGAUUUUGCCAUAUAUACAAUCUAGAAGACUCCAUGGUUGAAUUUAAGCAUAAUGCACAAACCUGA
rnacentral:rRNA from 1 species